AAUAAUUGCAGCUAAUGUUUAUCAUGGUGACCUGAAGCCCAAGAAUAUUUUAGCGAACUCUAACUACAAACUGAAAAUAUGUGACUUUGGACUAGCACGAGUUGCAUUCAUAGAUACCCCAAUAACAGUAUCUGGGAUGGAUUAUGUUGCAACAAGAUGAUACAAAGAUACCGAGCUUUUUGGAUCCUCCUCCUCCAUGGUUCGGAAUGAGAAAGCAAGAAAGUACUUGAGCAGCAUGAGAAAGAAAGACCCAGUUCCAUUUUCUCACAAGAUUCCAAAUGCAGAUCCUUUGGCACUUAAACUAUUGUAAAAGCUAUUAGUGUUUGACCCAAAGGACGUCCAACUGCAGAAGAGGCAUUGCGUGAUCCAUACUUCAAAGGUCUUGCCAGGGUUGAAAGAGAGCCAUCUUGUCAGUCAAUCAAAAAAGUGGAAUUUGACUUUGAGCACAAAAGAAUGUAAAGGAAGAGAUAAGGGAGUUGAUAUUCCGGAGAAACUGGAAUAUCACCCGCAAUUGCUGAAUAGCUAUAUAAACGGCACAGAGAGGACAACCUUUCUCUACCCAAGUGCUGUUGAACAAUUUAAGAAGCAGUUUUCUGAUCUUGAAGAAACGUGAUGCUGAAUCCCACAAGACAGCAGCAGGCUGCUACCGCAUCUGGGAAAAAAGGGUGAAGGUUUGUCCCAAAAAAGUGGCCCCUAGAAGCUAUCCAAUGCUAGCUGAAAUGCUUCUCGAUUCGUGAUCCUCUUUCUUAUUUGGUGAUGGGAUUUUGCUGGUCAACUGGAUUAGAUAAGUGGUUUCAUGUUUUUUUACUUUAAUUUGGAGCAAUCACUUGAAACAAUCUGUAUCUUCGGAUUAAUUAUAUGUCUGGUUGAACAGGUAUUGCUUUUCCUUCAAUCCAGGCAGUUUCACAACUGAUAAAUGCUAAAAGCAUCUUUGUUUUUUUUCUGAAAGAUAAAAAUGCAAACACGUGUAGAUAAAUACACUUGAUAGAGUGAUGGAGAUUUUCUUCUCUAUUACUGGCUUUUUACAAUCAAGUUUCCUAUUCCAAGCAACAAUUUUGCAGGUACCACACCGAGAUGCUUGCAUUACAUGGACAAUUUCAAAGUUCACAUGACAGUACAAAGUUUUCCCAAGAACGAACACGAUGACUGGCCAGGCCCAGCUGUGUGGCAGUAUUAUUUCUGGAUGCUGAAGGAGUCCUAAAAUGCCCAGAGAAGCUUGAUCACCUGAUGUUGGCAUUGGGCUGCCAUAACCUACACAUACUCUGAUAGUCCAACACUACCAUGCAAAUCCUAGUAUGCUCUCUAAUACAACAAUAUGAUCAGGUUGCAAGCUACUAUGUACAGCGUGUGCCAGACAUUAGGGGGUCCCAGAGCCACAAACUGCGACAACAAAUAGCAUUACAGACCUCAGAUGGCUUUUGUACAACCGCACAUAAUUUUCAUAGAUUAAUCAGCAGGGCCAUCAUCUUCUCCGUCUUUUUGACUCCACUGGCUGAAGAGAUCAUUUCAAGUUAUAUUAUUCAACAAAAUUCCCAUAUGCAUUGUAACUUUAAAAUAACAAAAACAAAUUUGCAUCAAUGAUAAGCAGCAAUCCCAUCACACAACA